AAGACCAUUGAAUAAAGAAAAUGUCGAUGCUCCUGAAGAUUUGGAGGAGCAUCCUAAUGAUGAGGAAGAGGUGGAGGGAAUUGAUCUGCACCAGCAACGUUACCCGUGGGAGGGAAGUGACAUGGAUUACUUAUACGACGAGGUAAGCAUAUCAUUAGAUGGUUUGCGGUCCAUCUUUGAGAGCCGUCGAUUGUAAGUGUCUAUCGUUUUGAAGUUGUACGACACUAAGAUGUAAAGAAUUACUAAUCAUGAUUACCUUACUAGCAGAGUUCUUUUGCACAUCUAUUGUCAAUGGAAUUAACACUGGAAAUUGAUGGUGUUAUAUUUCAUGUUCCAAUGCUAACGCAAGCUCCAAUAUUGAUUCUCAGCUUUAACAUGCCAAAAUCACAAUGCAGGGGGUGUUGUAAGGUAAUUCAGUAGGCACAAAUGUUCAGUUGAAAAAAAAAUUCUAAACUGUAUUUAUGCAUCAAACUUAUCAUCCGUAACAUAAUAAUAUGUUUUUUCUGUGCUAAGAACCGUUUGUAAAUAAAUGUCUCGGAUGUAUAUGACUGCUUAGUUUGUUGCUUUUGACAGUGAAAUCACUAAGCUUGCAAUGUGUCAGGACAACAAAAGCAUCACAGCUGAUGGUUAGCUUUACAAUUUCAUUGGUUUCUUUUUCCUAUUAUGUUGGAUGGAUUAUUUUAGCUAACAAAUAUCGCAACAGAACGCUGGCAAUAACUCUAAUAGAUUUAUAUAUACAUUUAGAAUUGGAAGUUUGGUGAGAACAUGAACAAGUACUUCUGUCACGCUAUUGGACAGUUAUAAGCCAUUUCAAGAGAAUUGAUUUCUUAUAUUUCCCAUAAUCAGUAAGAUUUUAACUGUUUUGUCUACUUUGCAUUCAUACCUCAUUCUCCAUCUAACUUAUCGGUGCUACUAUAUAAUGAUCAAGUCAUUUUCUGCACAAAUAGGUAAGUGGGGAUGUUACGCUGGGUGCUUGGUUUUUUGGGCUUGGCUAUACAAAGUCUGUUGUGACUCUAAAACUUUUACCUCAUUUAACAUUGAUUAUGGUUCUUGGGAAAAUUGCAGAUUAUGAAUGAAAGGCACAAGCAGGGAACAUAUGUGUAGCUGCGUUCGACUCGACAUGUAGCGGUAUCUGCAGAACCGCUGAUCCCAUUGUGGAGGUUAACAUGCAAUGUAUUGACCUGGAAAUCAUUAUUUGGAAGCUACAUUUCGAGGCAUUUCCUCAACAUAUAAAUAGACCAUAGACAGAGUUUGAUAUUUAUAAUACUCAGUGAUCAUGGAGUCUGCAGAAAACAGUCCUUUUGCAUAUUCUAUAUGGAACCAAGAGAUAUGUCAUUUGUUUGAUGAUUGUAUUAUGAUAGCUACUAACAUAGGAGAUGACUAGAGAAAGAAAAAUGAGUAUGAAACUCUUAUAUGGUAGCUUUUGUAAACACAUUUGAGUUUAUUAACAGUUGUGACAAGCAAUUAUGUUUAUAGUAAAGGAAACCCGCCGCAGCGUCAAUAACAAAUGCGCUUGUUUUUUGGUUGUUUGGGAUUGAAAUAGCUUAUGGGUUUUCUAAAUCAAUAUAAUUGAUUUGACUAAAGCUAUCUUGGAUGACAGAAAGAAUGAUUGUAAGUUUAAUAACUUCUACUUUAGACUUUAAUUUCAACUAAAUUAUAAUCAGUCUUUUAUUCAUAUCAUCUUAGUUAUAAUCGUAAGGAUUUAUUAGAAUAAAUAAACAGUUUCAACAAUAUUUAAUAUGUGAUUUAAUAAACAAAAGAACAUGCAGGAUUUUUAGGAUUUAAAGAGAUUGGAGACAAUAGUUAAUGAAUAUGAAAAAAAUACGAAGCAGAUGAUGACAAAUGAUUCGAGCAAAUUAGUGGCAACACAGAGCUAAGCGAGAUAAAAAUAUCAAUCAAUAAAGAAUGAAAGAAGAAUGAGCAGAGUUAAGUUAUUACACAAGUCAAAACUAAGACAAAUCAAACGACAUAACGUGAAAACAAAUGUAAACAAGACAAGAGGAGAUGGUGAAUAUAAAAUGCAUUGAAAAACUGAAUGCUGGAUUAGUAAGAAAGAGACAAAAAUAGAUUAAAAUGCAAAAAUCCCGCGCCAAAAAACAAAAAUAGAUUAAAAUGCAAAAACUCCGCGUCUUGGCGCGGAUGACAAUCCCUAGUACUAUAAAAUAGACAGAUAUUUAGUGUGUAUAUAAAACAAAACCUAAAGGAUAAUCAUAUCUAUAUUUAUCUUUAACAAUUUUUAGUUAAAGUUGCAAAAUUUAGUCUUGACAAAAAAAGAGAGUUCCAAACAAAAAAAACAAUUGAAACCCUAUCGACUCUCUCUUCUUCUCCCACUCGCCGUCUUCUCCGAAUCACCACCACGGCCAUCACCACCGGUCCUAUCCCAUCUGUCAGCAAGUCCAGCACGUCUCCGUCCAACUCUUCACCCCCGUUCCUCUUUUCCUCGUCUCCUCCUGUCCAGGAUUCUCGGGAGUGAGGAAAAUUGUGAGUCGGAGACGAACAGCGGCGGCGAGGAGACAUAGCUUAACUUCGACUUCCAUGGAGUUUGGCGUGUGUUCAAGCUCGAGGGAUGAGGAGAUGGAUUCAAGGGAGGAGAUGGAGUUGGAUUCAAAGAAUAAGUCUUUUACCCUCUUUCUCAGAUUCAAUUUCAUUUCUAAUUUAAUGUAUUGAUUAUGGAGGAAAUAACCAUAUGACAGGAAUUCAAUUGAGACAGAGACGAGCGAAGAGACGACCUGCCUCUCGAUCUGCCAAUCUAAGUGAGCAAGCUCGUUCGUAUGUUGAAGGUUGGAGGUGAAGCAGUGGAGAAAUUCUUGGUUCCAGGAGAGCCCUCGCUAUGAUGGAGCUAAUUUACCUCAUUCUUCGAUUCCCCUUCUCAAUCUCACGGGCUUCUUCUCUCUCUCUCUCUUUUGUUAUUGCAGUGUUCUUGUUCAAUGUUGCAGGGCUCAAGAUGGUCGUUUGUGAAUCUACUCCCCUUGUCAAAUAAGGUCAGGUGAGCAAGCGUUGUUAUGUGAUGUUCAAGGGUGUAGGAAACUGAUGUUCUCGAUUAACUUCAGCGCUGCUAGGAUUUUGAAGUAGGGCAUUUGCAUAACUCAUAGGAGCCAACAUCACGAGUAGUAUGACUUCUGUAAUGGGACUCCAUGAAUUUGGUUGAGAUCCUUAAACUAAGAAGAAGAAGAUCCUUAAAGAGAUCUAUUGAGGGACACACGAAUAGCACACAAAGUUGAUGGAAGAGUAUGAAGACUAAGAACAUGAGCGUGGACACACUUGUGGAUUAGUUUUAGGUUUAGUUUAGGGUUAUCUGGUUUGAUUUUGGUUUAGUUUUUUAUUUAUAAACCAUAAUAUUUUUGUAAAUCAAAAUUUCUUUUCUAAUAAAUUGUAUUAUUUUUUUAAAAGCAAUAUAAACCAAUUAUAACUA